AUGCAGUCGCACGGACCCUUCGGGGUGAGUGGCGGACGGGUGAGUAUCGCGUAGGGAUCUAUCCACGGGUGGGGGAUAACAUCGGGAAACUGAUGCUAAUACCGCAUGAUACCUGAGGGUCAAAGGCGCAAGUCGCCUGUGGAGGAACCUGCGUUCGAUUAGCUUGUUGGUGGGGUAAAGGCCUACCAAGGCGAUGAUCGAUAGCUGGUCUGAGAGGAUGAUCAGCCACACUGGGACUGAGACACGGCCCAGACUCCUACGGGAGGCAGCAGUGGGGAAUAUUGGACAAUGGGCGAAAGCCUGAUCCAGCAAUGCCGCGUGUGUGAAGAAGGUCUUCGGAUUGUAAAGCACUUUCGACGGGGACGAUGAUGACGGUACCCGUAGAAGAAGCCCCGGCUAACUUCGUGCCAGCAGCCGCGGUAAUACGAAGGGGGCUAGCGUUGCUCGGAAUGACUGGGCGUAAAGGGCGCGUAGGCGGUUUACACAGUCAGAUGUGAAAUUCCAGGGCUUAACCUUGGGGCUGCAUUUGAUACGUGUAGACUAGAGUGUGAGAGAGGGUUGUGGAAUUCCCAGUGUAGAGGUGAAAUUCGUAGAUAUUGGGAAGAACACCGGUGGCGAAGGCGGCAACCUGGCUCAUUACUGACGCUGAGGCGCGAAAGCGUGGGGAGCAAACAGGAUUAGAUACC
rnacentral:rRNA from 1 species